rnacentral:rRNA from 1 species
UACGUAGGUCCCGAGCGUUGUCCGGAUUUAUUGGGCGUAAAGCGAGCGCAGGUGGUUUAUUAAGUCUGGUGUAAAAGGCAGUGGCUCAACCAUUGUAUGCAUUGGAAACUGGUAGACUUGAGUGCAGGAGAGGAGAGUGGAAUUCCAUGUGUAGCGGUGAAAUGCGUAGAUAUAUGGAGGAACACCGGCGGCGAAAGCGACUCUCUGGUCUGUAACUGACGCUGAGGUUCGAAAGCGUGGGUAGCAAACAGG